GGAGCUGGUGAGGGUCUCUAGAAGACAGUGUGGCUGGUGAGAGUCUCUAGAAGACAUCGGAGCUGGUGAGGGGCUCUAGAAGACAGUGUGGCUAGUGAGGGUCUCUAGAAGACAUCGGAGCUGGUGAGGGUCUCUAGAAGACAGUGUGGCUGGUGAGGGGCUCUAGAAGACAUUGUGGCUGGUGAGCGGCUCUAGAAGACUGGAGGACUCUGGAGCAGCUGAGAGAUGCUGACAGGUUCAAGACAGACAAGAGACAUGCUGAUGUUGACUCAGCUGACUUAAGUAAAGGUUGUCAUCUUCAGUCAGUUAAAGAUUUAAAAGGCUGAUGAUACAUAGGGCAGUUUUGUGGUCAACGGGCCACCAGGUGAGACACAGGGUCCAUGAUCGAUCUAAAGUAUCCAGAUAGAAAUUUAUUACCCACUCUCAAUGCAAAUUGCCCAAGAAAUAUUGCUUAACAAAAGUUGUCUGGCAAAAUUGCUCAAAAAAAUAAUAAUUAUCCACAAGAAAUGUUAAUGAAAAUGUGCAAUUGUAAUCUAACCAUUACUUUACCAUCAUCAAAUUUCUGCCUCAGUAGUUAUAAGUCUUGACAAAUAUGUUUUUGUUUAACUGCUGACGCUGGAGCUCUAUCCUUCGCAAGUACAGUACAGUAGUGUCACCCACUACAACUUUUCGAGUGCAGUGGCCCAAAAACAAACCUUUUGUUUUCAUCCUCUUACUCACAGAUGAAACAUCUAUAUAAUAUAAUGAAAUAAUUCUGGUGUACAGUACUAUGCAAAAGUCUUUGGCAUAUUAGUUUUUUCAGUCUUGAACAAGGUGUCCUGCAACAGAUCAUCAACACAUCACUGAGCCAGUCUGGGAUUACAUGAAGAGACAGAAGCAAUGGAGACAGCCUAAAUCCACAGAAGAACUAAACUGCAUGUGAAAACCUUUGAACACCUCAUGCUUUAAAAUAAGGAUGUUUUGAAAAAUAAUGUCAGAAACAGAUUUUGUUUAUCAAAUGUAACAUGAAUCCAUCAUCGCACUGCAGAUGUUGGACAGAAGCUGCAUCUGACAUUCAGAUGUAUUUAAUGCAGACUGUCUGAUGCAGAUCAGAGGAACUGGGACAUUCACAGGUGGCUUUGUUUUUUAUGCCUGUAGAUUUGCAUAGAUGGCAGUGUGUUGCACUUGAUUAGGACUAGUAAUAAACAACCCCUUUUUCUGCACUUUUGUACAGAUGUGUCAGAGCGUCUCUCGUCACCUCUCACUUCCUCUCUUUAUCACUGCUCUGCUGCAGAAUGCUGGGUAGCACAAACCGAACAGUUAUUGCACCUGCACAGUAGCAUUGUCUAAAAGUUUGUUUAAUGAGGUUCAGAGUUUACUUAUCUCGCAUUUAAGAAUAUUCAAAAUGUAUUUGUAUAAACAUCAAAUCCACAUUUAAUCUUAAAAAAAUU
ensembl:lncRNA